CCUACGGGAGGCAGCAGUGAGGAAUAUUGGUCAAUGGGCGAGAGCCUGAACCAGCCAAGUCGCGUGAGGGAGGACGGCCCUAUGGGUUGUAAACCUCUUUUGUCGGGGAGCAAAAGCCGGACGGGUCCGGCUGUUAGAGUACCCGAAGAAAAAGCAGCGGCAAACUCCUGGCCAGCAGCCGCGGUAAUACGGAGGAUGCGAGCGUUAACCGGAUUUAUUGGGUUUAAGGGGUGCGGUGGCGGAGUUUUAAGGUAGCGGUCAAAUCGUGGGGCUCAACCCCAUCCAGCCGUUGAAACUGGUGAUCUAGAGUGUGCGAGAGGUAUGCGGAAUGCGUGGUGUAGCGGUGAAAUGCAUAGAUAUCACGCAGAACCCCGAUUGCGAAGGCAGCAUACCGGUGCACAACUGACGCUCAGGCACGAAAGCGUGGGUAUCGAACAGGAUUAGAUACCCGAGUAGUC
rnacentral:rRNA from 1 species